UACGGAGGAUCCGAGCGUUAUCCGGAUUUAUUGGGUUUAAAGGGCGCGCAGGCGGAAGAUUAAGUCGGCGGUGAAAUUUUGCAGCUCAACUGUAAAAGUGCCUUCGAAACUGGUUUCCUUGAGUGUAGAUGAAGUAGGCGGAAUUUGUGGUGUAGCGGUGAAAUGCAUAGAUAUCACGAGGAACUCCGAUUGCGCAGGCAGCUUACUAAACUACUACUGACGCUCAGGCACGAAGACGUGGGGAUCAAACAGGAUUAGAUACCCGGGUAGUCCCU
rnacentral:rRNA from 1 species